CAACAGGGAUUGCCUUAGUAACUGCGAGUGAAGCGGCAAAAGCUCAAAUUUGAAAUCUGACGUUUUUGACGUCCGAGUUGUAAUUUGGAGGGAUAUCUUCGGAGCUGGCGCUGUCCUAAGUUCUUUGGAACCAGACAUCAUAGAGGGUGAGAAUCCCGUGCCUGGAUAGCUGUCCUGCUCCAUGUGAAGUGUCUCCGACGAGUCGAGUUGUUUGGGAAUGCAGCUCAAAAUGGGUGGUAAAUUUCAUCUAAAGCUAAAUAUUGGCGAGAGACCGAUAGCGCACAAGUAGAGUGAUCGAAAGAUGAAAAGCACUUUGAAAAGAGAGUUAAAUAGUACGUGAAAUUGUUGAAAGGGAAGCGCUUGGGACUAUAUACAGCCGGCUGUGAUCAGCCACGUUUUUACGUGGUGCACUACAAGUCGGUUGAGCCAGCAUCGGUUCUGACGGCGGGAUAAAGGUUUCAGGAAUGUGGCUCCCCAAUUAUCGGGAGUGUUAAAGCCUGGAGCGCAAUGCCGCCAGUUGGGACCGAGGCUAGCGCGGAUUCGCAUGGAUGCUGGCUAAUGUAU
rnacentral:rRNA from 1 species